UACGUAGGGGGCGAGCGUUGUCCGGAAUUAUUGGGCGUAAAGAGCUUGUAGGCGGUCUGUCGCGUCUGCUGUGAAAAUCCGGGGCUCAACCCCGGACUUGCAGUGGGUACGGGCAGACUAGAGUGUGAUAGGGGAGACUGGAAUUCCUGGUGUAGCGGUGAAAUGCGCAGAUAUCAGGAGGAACACCGAUGGCGAAGGCAGGUCUCUGGGCCACUACUGACGCUGAGAAGCGAAAGCAUGGGGAGCGAACAGG
rnacentral:rRNA from 1 species